ensembl:lncRNA
GCAGAGAGGAGGGAGCCCAUGACCUUGCUGGUCAGCAGCUUUCCCACCAGCCUGUAUCUCUUUGCGGGAGGAGAUAGUCCAGUUGCUUGUCCUUGACGGUGUCUGUCUCCAUGGAGGAUGGUCGAUUCUGGAGCCAGAAAGCCAGAGAACUGGCCCUGAGCUAACAUCCAUGCCCAUCUUCCUCUACUUUAUACGUGGGAUGCCUGCCACAGCAUGGCUUUUGCUAAGAGGUGCCAUGUCUGCACCGGGGAUCCGAACCGGCUAACCCCGGGCCACCGAGAAGCAGAACAUGAGGACUCAACCACUGCGUCACCAGACCGCCCGGCGUUCAGUUUUGAAGUGAAUGGAUUUUUCUCUGAAAUCCCCCAAGGAACAAUCAUGGUCCUUAUGCCCUUAAGGAGGCUGUCGGCUGCUGAGGGCUGUCAAUCUGACAUACUUCUCUAGUUCUACAGGGAGACGAAAAUACCAUUUAAGUCUUAUUCCAACAUUUCUCAAAUCAUGUGGGUAUUACCAAGCAUGAAAUCAUCAUCUGAAAACUCAAUUUUAUAAAGAGUCGUUUCUUCAGGAAAAAUACGAAAGAACAUUCCUCCUGUUUACUCUGAGAUUUGCUUUUUUUCAAUAGUGUGGUUAUUGUGUCUUUCUUAAUCUUUGGGGAUUAGGCUUCCAUUUUUCACCUAGACUGCAAUUUGCUCAUAAAUCUCUUCAUCUUUGCUUAAUUCAAAUGUUUUGGCCAACUUCAUGGUUUAAUAAUGAGAAAUAAAAUUGGAGUCCUAAUGAUUACUAAGGAGGGAAUUUUCAUUUCGUCUGGAAUUUAAAGAGCUGUGAAAGGGGCGGGCAGCCAUCAGGCAAGCUGCCACAACCUUGGCUGGAGCAUGCUCAAUGCUGUGGGGUGUUAGACAGUUCCUUUUACCCAGGGUAAUUCUCCAAUGAUUACUUGAAAAUCCUUCAAAUCCAGCCCUACUUACAUCCACCGAUUGCUAUGCCCCUAUUGAUUAGUUACAAACUAUUAAUUGAAUUCAGGCCGUCUGAGAAGACCCCAGGUCCCUGGAGCUUCCAUCGCAUACUGCCCAUCAGAGCCAAGGCCAGUUACCCAGUUCCAAGAUGCUUCGACGCAAGUCAUGUAAUGGGGGGACUGGGACCACGAUUCUCAGAUAACUAGGCAGGACAGAGUUCUGUUUCAGCACUUCCACAUGAGCAGACAAAUUUGAAAGACAGAAGUAACUAGAAAAUGAUUUAAAACCCCUUUCUCAUAAGUUUACCAUUGGAGAAAGGUAUCCACAGCAUGGCUGUGUAGCCUAGAAUUCCCAGGGCAGAAAGGAAACAGGAGCUGGGUAAUUCCCUUUGUGCAGAGAGGAGCUUUGGUUUCUCUUGCUUGUGUAGAAUAGAGCGGUCCUCUGAGGCAGUCAACGGAGAGGCCGCCUGGCACUGCGGGCAACUGGCUGGAGACAGAACAACCCACUUCUACUGGGGGCUUAUUGGAUGGUUAGAAAAAAUAAUCUCCGAUUCUUCCACCCUAGUCAAGGCCCUUCAGGUAUGUCCCAGGCCAUCUUUCCUCUCCACAUAUCACUUCUAAGAAGUAUCCUACAAUUACUCAUUUAGCAUUAAUUGUAUAUUGACUUAGGUUAGAAUGCUCUGUGCAAUUAGACUUGACUUUUAACACAGACUGUAAAUGCCUCAAGGGCAAGAACUUUAUUUUAUAUUUUUUGCUCAUUCAUAUAUUGAUCGAUAAAUGAAUCAUCAAUUAAUCCACUCAUUAAUCCAAUACCCACUCUGCUGAGACCACUGUGCAAGGCUUAUUUCUAGAUACUCCAGGGCCUCCAGACGAGUGUGGAACAUAAUUUCUGCCUUCCAGUAGCGCACAAUCUUGUUGGAAAAGCUCAGUGUGUAAGGAGAGAAAAUUAAGAUAACGCCGUAGCAGAC